rnacentral:snRNA from 1 species
CCCUGUCGCACCACGAGG